rnacentral:lncRNA from 1 species
CCCGCGCCCGCCCGCCGGCCAGCGUGCUGCAGCCGCCGCGGCCCGGGCGGGGCCGGGGGGGGGGGUGGGUUCGCUGGUUUGGAGGGGGGGUGGGGUUGGCUGUUUCUGGAAAGCUCAGCAGAGCUAAUCUAAUCUUCCAAGGCGCGUCCGCUGCCCGAGAGCAGCGCUCACAGUCCGCAGCGCCGGGAGGGCUCCGCGGCCUCCCCCUCCCGGCUCAGUAGAUCCAGAUCGUGUGAGUCUCUUUUAUUCCCGUUUUGCACGUGAGGCCACGGAGGCCGGGAUAGACCAGGAUCGCACACGUCUUGGGGGCCUACUCCGGACUCAAACCUACGUCUCUGUGACUCCAAAACUCAUAUUAUACUAUGACCUAGUAUUUGCUGGUGUAAGACGAAUGGUUCCGUUUUAGCGCAGAUGCAAGCGCCACCUUAUUUGGAGGACAGGCAGGUAGAUCUGCAGCUGUAAAACCCGAGGCCCCGAGGCGGGCUUGCACAGCUCCCCUGGCUCUCCGUCCACGUCCACGUCUCUGCUGUCCACUGCUCCUAGAGCACCUUUCGACUCUUGAAAACAGGAACUGCCAGUUAAAAAGAAUACUACCUAUUUUAUUGAGCCUGAAGGGUUGAGGACAUCACAGACCAGAGGACGAGGCCCGGAGGGAUGGGACUUUGUCUGCUGCCCUCUCGCAUCCCGACUGGUACACCUCAGUGAACAAUCUGUAAUGGACACAGUGCAUACAGCAAGGCCCUACUGCAAACCUGUGGACGCAAAGCCUCUGAGAACCUCUCAGACACGGAAGGGGCCACAAGGCUU